UGAUAAUAUUUUAAACGAUGCCCAAAGUGUGCAACAUACGUCAAAGUUCAAGGUGUGUUAUAUGUACGUAUAAUCAGCGGUUGUUAUUUUUUUUUGACCCUAUACGUGGUGUUAACUAGAAAAACUCAUCAGACAGGACGUCGUGGGUGGAAAAUUCGGAAUGAUUUGUUUUUCUUCCCUAUUUUGUACAAUACCACUGCAUCCGAAUACGUGCUAUUAUACUACUUAGUAGUACAGCCUUUGAUGCCUUUUAAAGUUUGAACUUUUGUUUUAUAGUGGUCAAUUGCAUCACCAUU